ACAAGCAAGAUGGCCGUUUUAGCAGAAAAUCUAUCAACGUUGUUUGUGUAGAAAAUAUUCCACUAAAAACUGCAUCUCAUGAUGUUUUUGACCCGAAGAAGCUGAAUAAGGAAGCAAAGAGUUUACAAGGAACUAUGGAAUGAGGAAAAUUGAUUGAAGUAAAGAUGGCAAUCCCGUAAAAGCAUUUGUUUCUGCUUUACAUUUUAAUCCGAUCACAAUACAUCAUGUACAUCGGAACUUUGCAGAACUUUUUUUCAGAUUUCAUGGAAACGAAAUAAAUUGCGUUGAAAUGAUGGGAGUAAAUGGAUAUGACGAUCUAGUAAAGAACCUUAUUUCUGCUUAUUUUGGAUGCGAUCACAACCAUGAUAACUAAACAAUAAUUACAUCAGGAUGUCAACGAUAUUUUUCGAGUCUUUAUCGAUACUUUCGCCCCGUGUUCUGAAAAUAAUUUACUUCGGAAACAAAUUUGUAUGAAAGCCAUGAAUACCAGGUACGUUCAUUAUUGCAUGGUAUCACCUGAUGACAUUCUUUCUGAUACAUUCUUCGCUUAGCUACAUUCCAGGCUUUGUUAUGUAAAUUGGCGACAACGUUGACCGCUGCAGACGACCGAACAUAGUAACAUCUUCAUCACGAUUCACGUGAGCGAGCGUUUUCCAUCCUUUUCCCCGGGCCCGAGGCGGAGACUGGCAGAUAACUUUGUACUUUGAACAUUGUUAAUCAAAACUGUUAAAAUUCAACAGGAAUAAUUUGUGAUGCAGGCGAAAUUGUCAUUGAUCGGAUGGUUUAUUAUAAACAAUGGAACUGUUCAAACAGGGAAUUUGGAAUACUGAAUCAGUUUGACAAGAUUUUAUCGACGAGAACUUUCAGCUGUUCAUCGUCAGCGGGCAAGGAUAGAGGCUCACGCCGGAGCUUGACCGCGCAGUACUGCCGUGUCACCGGGGAGACCAGUCCGAACCUCACGGGAGAUUUGUUGAUGGGUCUCCGCCGAACACCUUGAUAUUUCUCUCCAAGGCUCAUCAAUAAAAACUUGAUAUUUUAUGUGUGAACUUUUGCGGGUGGAGAAAUGAUUUUGAGGCUACUCGACUGUAUCUCAAAUGGAAAAUUAUUUCGGGAACCGAAUCAUAUUUGGAUUAUUGUGUAUUUUGGAUGGAUGCAAUUAAAAGGCAGAGUAAUCACCGGCGAGAACAGAUGCCAAUGCCGAGACUGAACAAAACGUUCCUGUAUGAGUCUGAAAUGCAUACAUCAACUAUCAACCCAGCGUUUGAGUAGACGCAGUACACAGGCCGGGUACCCGAGACCAAGGAGCUAUAAAAGAUAGAGAACCAUCCAACACAUUCCCUUAAGCAUCUUUGAUGCUGCAUGGAUAAAGCCAGGUGCUUCAUAGGAUUUUUUUACUGCCGAUUUUAGACAAAAGAUUAUUUCCUAACUACGGACUUAUACUGACCAGUUUCAGGAGGAAUAUGCUAAUUACUUCUCAAUUCCCCUGGCACAUUCUGGUCAGAUAAUUAUGAAAAGACACAUUGAUAACUGUUACUGGGGAAAAACCAAAAUAAACGUGACAAUAUUUCUUGAAAUGUAAUCCAAAAUUACUCGACCAUGUCGCCAUGCCUCAUGUGACCACAACUGUGAUACAUAUCAGAAAUUGAUAUAUCCCCACAAACUAAUCUUCAUUUUUGUAAUGUGAAAGAGUGUAGAAAUCUAUAAAAUGAUGAUUUAAUAACUGUCAAAGUCUGAGGGCUUUUCACAUUUUGAAACCGUUAAGCAAUAUUUCGCCCAAUUUCAGGAGAAAAUAGUAAGGCUUUGAGAUAUAUUUGUCAUGAAUUGUGUCCAAUAUCCAUGUUUUGUAAUCAAAUAAAAUUGGAAACAUUCCCAAUAAAUCU